UACGAAGGGGGCUAGCGUUACUCGGAAUGACUGGGCGUAAAGGGCGCGUAGGCGGUUUGCUUAGUUAGGCGUGAAAUUCCUGGGCUCAACCUGGGGGCUGCGCUUAAUACAGGCAGACUAGAGUGUGAAAGAGGGUCGUGGAAUUUCCAGUGUAGAGGUGAAAUUCGUAGAUAUUAGAAAGAACACCGGUGGCGAAGGCGGCGACCUGGUUCAUUACUGACGCUGAGGCGCGAAAGCGUGGGGAGCAAACAGG
rnacentral:rRNA from 1 species